CGUUCAUCUGGACGGUAUGCACAUGUGCAUACAAGUAAUUUGUAAGGAAUUUGACCUGUAUGUACAUGCACACGUGCAUAGAAACCAAGAAACACCUUCAGUUACUUGUAUGCACAUGUGCAUAUCAUACAGAUGAACGG
rnacentral:ncRNA from 2 species